UCUACGUGUUUGUUUGUUUGU
rnacentral:piRNA from 1 species